rnacentral:rRNA from 1 species
GAUGAACGCUGGCGGCGUGCCUAAUACAUGCAAGUCGAGCGAACAGACGAGGAGCUUGCUCCUCUGACGUUAGCGGCGGACGGGUGAGUAACACGUGGAUAACCUACCUAUAAGACUGGGAUAACUUCGGGAAACCGGAGCUAAUACCGGAUAAUAUAUUGAACCGCAUGGUUCAAUAGUGAAAGACGGUUUUGCUGUCACUUAUAGAUGGAUCCGCGCCGCAUUAGCUAGUUGGUAAGGUAACGGCUUACCAAGACAACGAUGAGUAGCCGACCUGAGAGAGUGAUUGGCCACACUGGAAGUGAGACUCGGUCCAGACUCCUACGGGAGGCAGCGGUAGGGAAUCUUCCGGAAUGGGCGAAAGCCUGACGGAGCAACGCCGCGUGAGUGAUGAAGGUCUUCGGAUCGUAAAACUCUGUUAUUAGGGAAGAACAAAUGUGUAAGUAACUAUGCACGUCUUGACGGUACCUAAUCAGAAAGCCACGGCUAACUACGUG